rnacentral:rRNA from 1 species
GAUGAACGCUGGCGGCGUGCCUAACACAUGCAAGUCGAGCGGAAGGACGAGACUUUCGCUUGGAUGCUGUGUGGGGCGGGUGGGUGAGUCACAUGUGGAUACCUUCCCUUUAUGACUGAGAUCCCUACGCGAACGCGAAUACCACAUAGGACCAUAUUGUGAAGGGUGGGGUUCUUAAGAGCUCAAUCGGUUUGAUGUGACUUAGUGGUGUAUCCGCGUUGCAUUAGCUAGUUGGUAGGGUAACGGCUUACCGAGGCGACGAUGCGUGGCCGGCCUGAGAGGGUGAUCAGCCACACUGGAACUGAGACACGGUCCAGACUCCUACGGGAGGCAGCAGUGGGGAAUAUUGCACAAUGGGCGAAAGCCUGACGAAGCAACGCCGCGUGAGUGAAGAAGGUCUUCGGAUCGUAAAGCACUUUAAGUUGGGAAGAACCUCUGUAUGUGAACCUGUUGCUGUCUUGACGGUACCUAAAGAAAAAGCAACGGCUAACUACGUG